AAUAAGAAACCUCAACUAAGAGAAUAUUAUUAAUUUCGCUGAGACCACAGAGCUAGGAAGAGGCAGAGGCAGGUCGAUUGAUAACAAGGAAGAGCAUCAAGGAUUAUUUCUUUUUCAGAGUCUGGAUCCAUUGCAGCCAUUUUGAAAUUAACAAAUAAUAAGGGAAGGCCAACAAGGACAGAUGUAUAAAAGUAUAAUGAAUCAUAACAAGAGCUUCAUCCUCCUGGAAUUAUUGGUUUAGUAGUACGAUUUGGGAAAAUGAAUACAAUCACAAGAUGAGAACAUUGAAGCACAGAGAAAUUAUGUUAACUUGUCCAGUGCCAAAGAGCUAUUAAGUGGCAGAGCUGGGAUUUACUGCCACUGCACUGUUGCCUCUUUGGUUAGGAGCUCUUUGCUGUGCUGAGAUUGCAGUAUUUAAAGAUAGACACUGCACCAGGAACUGGAGGACAAGGUAGCCAAUUUCUUGCCAUUCUAUUAAGGGAGGAAGAUUUUAAACAAAUAACUACAACAAAAUGUACAGAGUGGCAUGAUCAAAGGAGUACAAGGAGCUAUCAGAGAUGACUAGGAGUUGGCCAGAUGAAGAAAGCGUAGAGGGAAGUGUCUUGAAACCUUUCCCCUGAACAAACCUGAAAGGUAGAAGACCAUGAGAUGACGCCUCUGGGGGAC
rnacentral:lncRNA from 1 species